GCACUCGAAAGCGAGCUGUCCGGGUGCCGCCCCGAGUGGAGUGAGCCGAGCCUUGCUUACCAGCAUCUGCGCCUCCGCACACCGCGAAGGCGCCCAAUUGGAGGUGCGGCCACGGCCGGGGCAGGCGGCACAACGCCGUCAGGUAAAGGGAAGAAAGGGAAAGGCCGGCCCAAGACCUCCGGGAAGAAGCAGAAGCUGAAGAAGCAGGAAGUGGACAUCAUGAGCCCCGCAGCCAUGCUGAACCUGUAUUACAUUGCUCACAAUGUUGCGGACUGCCUGUACCUGCGAGGCUUCCCCUGGCCAGGGGCUCCCAAAGGGAAAAGGGGGAAAAAAUAAGAUUUAGGUGAUAGAAUUCAAAGCACGCCUUGGUCUCAAAGAACAGAAAGUAGGAGAAUGCAUUUAGGAUAACUCAAGGACUUCGGCCAAACGGGCUCUAAAAGACAAGCGGAAACACAGAGCCACUGUGCUUUUCUGUGCUAAGCAAUAGCAAACGCCGUUUUUUUAUUUCCGAAGCUAAGCCAGGCACUAGGUAAGCCACUUUGGUUUUUCAGAAGUAAUCAGGAAAAGUAGUUCAUAAAGGUUACCCUGGCACUGGUAGUAAUUUUUUUUAAAUAUUAUAAUCAUAAUUCUAGACUGAAUUAAACCUUGAUCUCAGAAGGCAG
rnacentral:lncRNA from 1 species